AGAGUUUGAUCAUGGCUCAGAGCGAACGCUGGCGGCGUGCUUAACACAUGCAAGUCGAACGCGCAGCAUUCUGUAGCAAUACAGGGUGUGGGCGCGUGGCGAACGGGUGCGUAACACGUGGAUAACCUUCCUUGAGGUGGGGAAUAACCCAGUGAAAAUUGGGCUAAUACCGCAUAACAUCGCGAUGGCACAUGCUGAUGCGAUCAAAGGCGCAAGUCGCCAUAAGAGGGAUCCGCGGCCGAUUAGCUUGUUGGCGAGGUAAUGGCUCACCAAGGCAAUGAUCGGUAGCCGGACUGAGAGGUUGGCCGGCCACACUGGAACUGAGACACGGUCCAGACUCCUACGGGAGGCAGCAGUGGGGAAUCUUGCACAAUGGACGAAAGUCUGAUGCAGCAACGCCGCGUGGGGGAUGAAGCUUCUCGGAGUGUAAACCCCUUUCGACCCGGAAGAAUGCCCGCAAGGGUAUGACGGUACGGGUAUAAGAAGCCCCGGCUAACUACGUGCCAGCAGCCGCGGUAAUACGUAGGGGGCCAGCGUUGCUCGGAAUUACUGGGCGUAAAGGGUCCGUAGGCGGUGUAGCAAGUCGAUAGUGAAAUCUCUGGGCUUAACCCAGAGGCUGCUAACGAAACUGCUGUGCUAGAGUGUGAGAGAGGCGAGUGGAAUUACGGGUGUAGCGGUGAAAUGCGUAGAUAUCCGUAGGAACAUCCGAGGCGAAGGCGGCUCGCUGGAUCACAACUGACGCUGAGGGACGAAAGCUAGGGGAGCAAACAGGAUUAGAUACCCUAGUAGUCC
rnacentral:rRNA from 1 species